rfam:Kingella denitrificans ATCC 33394 genomic scaffold SCAFFOLD1, whole genome shotgun sequence.
GGGGGCGACCUUGGUUUCGACGGGGGUUACGAAGCAAAUACGGGCAUACCGGGUUUUCAGUUACCCGUAAAACACUGAAUCAAAAUAGUCGCAAACGACGAAACUUACGCUCUGGCCGCUUAAGGCUAGCCGUUGCAGCAGUUGGCCGAUGGGCUGUGUAGGGUAAAACCUACGGCAACGUCAUAUUACAUUGGCUGGCCGUUUGUCGGGUUACUUGGCAAACGGCGAGAUUUAAGGUAACUGGUUUUCUGAAAGCCUGUCUGUCGGCGUGAUGAAAACGAGAUUUUCAAAUGGACAAGACUAAGUAUGUAGAACGUUUUGUAGAGAGCUUUCGGACGGGGGUUCGAUUCCCCCCGCCUCCACCA